rnacentral:rRNA from 1 species
CCUACGGGCGGCAGCAGUGGGGGAUAUUGCACAAUGGGGGAAACCCUGAUGCAGCGACGCCGCGUGUGGGAAGACGGUCCUCUGGAUUGUAAACCACUGUCCCCAGGGACGAAAAUGACGUUACCUGGGGAGGAAGCUCCGGUUAACUACGUGCCAGCAGCGGCGGUAAUACGAAGGGAGCGAGCGUUGUCCGGAAUUACUGGGUGUAAAUGGAGCGUAGGCGGGGAUGCAAGUUGGGUGGCAAAACUACCGGCUAAACUGGUAGUAGCACUGAAUACUGCAGCUCUUGAGUGAAGUAGAGGCAGGCGGAAUGCCUAGUGUAGCGGUGAAAUGCGGAGAUAUUAGGAGGAACACCAGUGGCGAAGGCGGCCUGCUGGGCUUUUACUGACGCUGAGGCUCGAAAGUGUGGGGAGCAAACAGGAUUAGAUACCCGGGUAGUC